rnacentral:rRNA from 1 species
GACGAACGCUGGCGGCGUGCUUAACACAUGCAAGUCGAACGAUGAAGCCGGAGCUUGCUCUGGUGAAUUAGUGGCGAACGGGUGAGUAACACGUGAGUAACCUGCCCUUGACUCUGGGAUAACUGCGGGAAACUGUAGCUAAUACCGGAUACGACCCUCGGAGGCAUCUCCUGGGGGUGGAAAGAAUUUCGGUCAAGGAUGGACUCGCGGCCUAUCAGCUAGUUGGUGAGGUAAAGGCUCACCAAGGCGACGACGGGUAGCCGGCCUGAGAGGGUGACCGGCCACACUGGGACUGAGACACGGCCCAGACUCCUACGGGGGGCAGCAGUGGGGAAUAUUGCACAAUGGGCGAAAGCCUGAUGCAGCAACGCCGCGUGAGGGAUGACGGCCUUCGGGUUGUAAACCUCUUUUAGCAGGGAAGAAGCGAAAGUGACGGUACCUGCAGAAAAAGCACCGGCUAACUACGUGCCAGCCGCCGCAGUAA